rnacentral:sRNA from 1 species
GAUCUGCAUUGAUAUGAACAUAGUUGUAAAGAUAUUAAUUUAGUUAUUGUAAUAUAUGGGAACCUAAUAAUGUAUACCAUAUGUCACCCCCAAAUUUUUCCACAAUGCGCGAUUGGUUGCCCCCAUGUCAGAGUUCUGGAAACUACACGUUUUCUUUUGUUGGCGUAAACUUCCCCCUCUUUUCCCUUCCAAGAUGGAUUUGUGUCACAAUCGUCGAUGUCCCCAUGAGUCUUCCUUUUGAGAUAAACCUGUCGAUGCAUACCUUCCCAUCUAAUCAAUUGAAUAAAUAAACACCUGAAACACAAUUUGGCCGAGCUAUUGAAGAUCUCAUGUAUACCUAUUGCUUUAUGUAGAAGAAUGUCAGCUAUUGUUAGCAUACUGUGCACCACACUAUUUUUAUUCGUUUUUGUAUUCAAUAAAUUUUAAUUUAAUAAA